rnacentral:lncRNA from 1 species
CAGGUGGGUGAAAAGGACAGCACGGUAGAUAGAACAGAUGGGGGAGUAAGACAAGAAUUUAACCGACGGAAAAGAAAGCAGAAACAGCACGUCACCAAGGACAAUACUCGGGUACCGACCACAACGACAAGUACGGCACUGGUAGCGAUGGGUGACAAGGAAUCGCGACUGGAGAAAAUGCAGGAUACUACAGCGCCAAAGGACAAUCUCCCCAACAC